GCGGCAGACGCCAACAUGCAGAUCUUCGUGAAGACCCUGACAGGCAAGACCAUCACUCUCGAGGUCGAGCCCAGUGACACCAUCGAGAAUGUCAAGGCCAAGAUCCAAGACAAGGAACGCAUCCCACCUGACCAGCAGAGGCUGAUAUUCGCUGGCAAACAGCUGGAGGAUGGCCGCACCCUGUCCGACUACAACAUCCAGAAAGAGUCCACCUUGCACCUGGUGCUGCGUCUGCGCGGUGGCAUCAUCGAGCCAUCCCUUCGUCAGCUUGCCCAGAAGUACAACUGUGACAAGAUGAUCUGCCGCAAGUGCUACGCACGCCUGCACCCUCAUGCAGUCAACUGCCGCAAGAAGAAGUGCGGCCAUACCAACAACCUGCGCCCCAAGAAGAAGGUCAAAUAAAGCUGGGGCCAUACCUGGCCUGUGACCCCGGAACCAAAUAAAGUCCCCUUCCAUCGACUGGAGCAGAAAAAAAAA